rnacentral:rRNA from 1 species
AUACCACUUGUUGCCUCGGCGGAUCAGCCCGCUCCCGGUAAAACGGGACGGCCCGCCAGAGGACCCCUAAACUCUGUUUCUAUAUGUAACUUCUGAGUAAAACCAUAAAUAAAUCAAAACUUUCAACAACGGAUCUCUUGGUUCUGGCAUCGAUGAAGAACGCAGCAAAAUGCGAUAAGUAAUGUGAAUUGCAGAAUUCAGUGAAUCAUCGAAUCUUUGAACGCACAUUGCGCCCGCCAGUAUUCUGGCGGGCAUGCCUGUUCGAGCGUCAUUUCAACCCUCAAGCACAGCUUGGUGUUGGGACUCGCGUUAAUUCGCGUUCCCCAAAUUGAUUGGCGGUCACGUCGAGCUUCCAUAGCGUAGUAGUAAAACCCUCGUUACUGGUAAUCGUCGUGGCCACGCCGUUAAACCCCAACUUCUGAAUGUUGACCUCGGAUCAGGUAGGAAUACCCGCUGAACUUAAGCAUAUC